rnacentral:tRNA from 1 species
GGUGGCUCAGUGGUAGGGCAUAUGUCUUGCAUACAUGAGGACCUAGGUUCAGUUCCUCAGCACCA